rnacentral:lncRNA from 1 species
AAUGGACCAGGCCUCAGCUCCUGCAUAGACCUACCUUUGAGUGGGCUCCAGGCAGAGAAGGCCAGUGUCCGGUUGUAAAGAUCACACACAGAAGACACAUUAGAAGAGUCCCUUCCUCAUCGGCAUGGGGUGUGUCCUGUGUGAGCUCCCUGAAUGUUGAUUGGAAUGGGAAGUCCUACUUGUAUUCCCUCCUGCCUGCUCCAUUCCUUUUGAGUGACAUGUCUGGGGUCAGGGCUGAGAGCAUGGGGGAGGAUGCAGACCUCAGAGUGGGAGAGUCACCCCAAGGCUCAACUAACACCAGAACCUCGUCCUUGGUGUCUCAGUGGGCAAGGCUGGGCUUGUCAUCUUGCCCAGCCUCUGGUGGAGGCAGCAUAGACUUGGUGACAGCUUCCUCGGAAGAGAUGAAUGAAGCAAUUGUGUACUUGGUGCAGAGAAGAUUCCAGAUGGAGGAGGUGUUUUCAAUGGCAAUAACCCGGAGAUGGAAUAUUUCAAUGAGUCAACAAACAGAGAUAUUGGCA